rnacentral:rRNA from 1 species
GAUGAACGCUGGCGGCGUGCCUAAUACAUGCAAGUCGAGCGAACAGACGAGGAGCUUGCUCCUCUGACGUUAGCGGCGGACGGGUGAGUAACACGUGGAUAACCUACCUAUAAGACUGGGAUAACUUCGGGAAACCGGAGCUAAUACCGGAGAAUAUAUUGAACCGCAUGGUUCAUUAGUGAAAGACGGUGUUGCUGUCACUUCUAGAUGGAUCCGCGCCGCAUUAGCUAGUUGGUAAGGUAACGGCUUACCAAGGCAACGCUGCGUAGCCGACCUGAGAGGGUGAUAGGCCACACUGGAACUGAGACACGGUCCAGACGCCUACGGGAGGCAGCAGUAGGGAAUCUUCCGCAAUGGGCGAAAGCUUGACGGAGCAACGCCGCGUGAGUGAUGAAGGUCUUCGGAUCGUAAAACUCUGUUAUUAGGGAAGAACAAAUGUGUAAGUAACUAUGCACGCCUUGACGGUACCUAAUCAGAAAGCCACGGCUAACUACGUG